rnacentral:misc_RNA from 1 species
GAUGAAGAACGUAGCAAAAUGCGAUAAGUAAUGUGAAUUGCAGAAUUCAGUGAAUCAUCGAAUCUUUGAACGCACAUUGCGCCCGCUGGUAUUCCGGCGGGCAUGCCUGUUCGAGCGUCAUUUCAACCCUCAAGCCCCCGGGUUUGGUGUUGGGGAUCGGCUCUGCCCUUCUGGGCGGUGCCGCCCCCGAAAUACAUUGGCGGUCUCGCUGCAGCCUCCAUUGCGUAGUAGCGAACACCUCGCAACUGGAACGCGGCGCGGCCAUGCCGUAAAACCCCAACUUCUGAAUGUUGACCUCGGAUCAGGUAGGAAUACCCGCUGAACUUAAGCAUAUCAAUAAGCGGAGGA